AAAAAUAACGCAAAGAAAUGCUAUCAACCAACUCAAAGAAGGCUUUGCUCUACUCACAACUUCUCUUCAACAACACCACAAUCUUCUCAAUAUCUGCAUCUUCUUCUUCUGCUGCUGCUCUUUGUUGGUAUUCCAAAUUGAGCAUGGAUCCUUCUGACUUUCCUCUUAGUAGAUCUCCUAGAAGAGAACUUCAGGGUCCUAGACCACCUGCCCUAAAAGUCCGUAAAGAUUCGCACAAGAUCAAGAAACCCCCAAUAGCUCCACAGCCAUCACAGCAACAACACCACCAGCAACCAACUCAGCCACGGCUGCCGGUCAUAAUCUACACAGUUUCACCAAAAGUUAUCCACACAAACCCUAGUGACUUCAUGAAUCUUGUCCAACGCCUCACGGGCUCUACUUCUUCUUCCACUUAUUCAACCUCCGCUACUAGUUCUUCAACUUCUAAUCCUUUUAAUAAUGAUGGUGGUGCAAUAUCGCCGGCGGCAAGGUAUGCAACUAUAGAGAAGGCGAAGACACCCAAGGACAAGAUUAUGCCAGCAAGUGAGGAUAUGGGUUUCUUGGAAGAGAUAGGAAUAGAUCAACUAAUGGAGAGAUCAUCAGGUAAUUUGUUUCCUGGGAUUCUUUCACCAGGGCCUGCUUCACUUCCUCCAAUAACACCAAAUUUCUUCUCUCCACAGUCCGAUCCAAACAUGGUUAGCUUCUUCCAUGAUUUGAGCCCUGUGGUUUAUGGUAACAAGAAUUUUAUAGAGGGAAGUUUCAUGCCCAGUCCUUCAUUCUUUGUUUCCCCUCGCCUGGCUUCUCCAACUCCAUCUGUAGACCUCUUCAACAAUUUCAAUUUCAACAACAUCUUUGACUUCUGAUUUUAUUUUAUUUUUUCUGUAGGGAGACAUAGGGAGAUAAUUAAUUAUGAUUUUUAUUUUUUUUAUUUUUAUAAAUUCUCUGGUUUUGCUUUUUGUGUAUCCUCUUCAUGUUGAGGAUAAUAGGAGAAGAAGAAAGGAACAUCUACAAUCACUUUUUGGUAGGUUAGCAAGUUGCAGAGACUUGUUAAUUGGCACCACGUAUGAAUUUCUUUGUUUUUAAUUUUUGUGGGUCAUUUGAUAGGGCAGUUUUGGCUCUAUAUUUAUGUUGUAGACCUAUAUUUUUAAUACCAUUCUUUUGUCAUUUACCUUAUGGCAUGUAAUUUGAAUCAGUAAUAACAUUUUUGUUCCUCAGUUUGUU
rnacentral:misc_RNA from 1 species